GUUCGUAGGCUGUUUAUUAAGUCUGGGGGUGAAAUCUCCGGGCUCAACCCGGAGCUCGUUCUCAAAACUGGUAGACUUGAGUAAGGUAGAGGCUGACGGAAUUCUGCAAGUAAGGGUAAAAUCCGUUGAUCUGCAGAGGAACACCAAAAGCGAAGGCAGUCAGCUGGGCCUUUACUGACGCUGAGGGACGAAAGCGUGGGUAGCGAACGGGAUUAGAUACCCCGGUAGUCCACGCCGUAAAUGAUGGAUACUGGACAUUGGUACUCGAUCGUAUCAGUGUCUCAAGCUAACGCAUUAAGUAUCCCGCCUGGGGAGUACGGUCGCAAGAUUAAAACUCAAAGGAAUAGACGGGGACCCACACAAGCGGUGGAGCAUGUGGUUUAAUUCGACAAUAAGCGAGGAACCUUACCAGGGCUUGACAUCCCGAGAAUUCUUUAGAAAUAGAGAAGUGCCUUUAUGGAACUCGGUGACAGGUGCUGCAUGGUUGUCGUCAGCUCGUGCCUUGAGGUGUUCGGUUAAGUCCGUAAACGAGCGCAACCCUAGUCCUAUGUUGUAUAUUUCAUAGGAGACUGCCUUGUCCAACGAGGAGGAAGGUUAGGAUGACGUCAAAUCAGCAUGGCCCUUAUGUCCUGGGCGACACACGUGCUACAAUGGUCGGUACAAUGGGUAGCCAACCCGCGAGGGGGAGCCAAUCCCAUCAAAGCCGGUCCAAGUUCGGAUUGGAGGCUGCAACUCGCCUCCAUGA
rnacentral:rRNA from 1 species